GAACAGGGUACAGAGACGCCGUAGGAGUAGGAGGAUAAUUAGUACAAGAAGAGGGCGCGCUUCCGUGUCGGCACGGCUUCGUGACUAAGGUUAGUCCUAGCCGAGUCCCCGUUGAUGUGGUAUCGGCCGCAGCCGAGGCUUAAGAUAGACUAGCUAUUUUUUAGGUCUCCGAAGCCGUUGGAGAGGCUGAGGCUGCCCUUGUUGUGGGUCCACAACAGGUAGCAGCUAGUCAGCUAUGCUGAGACCGUUGAAGCUGGGCUGCCGCCGCUGCCCGACCUCCAGCUACCCCGCAGGAAGUCGCGGUGGCACCGUAUAGUCGGCGACAGGUCGGCCCUAUCGGAGCGGAAGGAGUAGGAGGGCAGCUACGAUUUGUGGAGGAACGACUACUACCUUGACUACCGGUCUCUACUACCGGGCGAGCAGGAGUGGCCUCGGCCAUCAGGUCUCCGAUGUAGAGCCUCGCGGCGUCAGAGGCCGUCGUGGCAGAGAUAGUCCUAACCGCACGACAGCUUAGAGAGCUAGUGCCUCGUGAUGAUACUACUGUAGUACCAACAGCUAUAGUGAUAGCUAGCCCAUCGUUUGUUUAUGUGGCACACCUAGCUGAUGCUGUCACGCCCCGCGUCGGACAGCCAGAUGCGCCUGCAGGUUCGGUUAGGGUUCGGACUGUUGUAGUAUCGACUCGAGGAGGGAAUGGGGAUGUAGCUGUAGCCACCUCCGGACAGUUCCUUCCACUGGUAGGACAGGAGGCAGGAGCCUAGGCAUCGAUGGUGGCGUCACUACCGGCAGCCGGACCGCACGAUGAAGUUGAGCUCCAUGGCCGCCACCGUGUUCCUGGACCUGGUUGAGCGCUCUAGGUACCUCGCGGAGGGGCCCCACGGGUGGUUCCACCUUAAACGACUGUAGUUCUUCCGGUGGCCAUUGAAGGUGCUUCGGUACUUCGAGCCCCCUCCACCCAAGCCGUGGCACAUGUCCACGUGCGAGUGCCGGAGGCGAAGUUUCUGCCUCGCUGGCUACCUACAGCGCCAGUUCUCCAAGUGCGCGCUACACGUCUUGGCGACGAUGCUGCUGAAAGAACGGCUCCAGUCGUAGUAGUUGGCCGAUGCGGUGUUCUUGUAGCAGGGGAAACAGCCCACCAGAAUAUUGUUUCCUCUCGGUGAUGAACACAAGCUCAAGUACUGGUUGCCGUCGAACCUAGUUGUAGAGAAGGGGUUUCACUCGUUACCGUGGCCCGAUGUUGUCCGCGUUGCGUGACCGUGCCGGUAAGCCGUUACCCGGUGGGCGAUGCCUUAGCAGUCCCUGUAACGAUGGCCGGAAGUGAUGCAGGUGGUGCUCAUGCUCGGCUACCACGAGGUGGCACUGUAGUUCCGCUCGUUGCACUACGAUCUGAGAUCGAUAGCCCGUGCGGAGCCACUGAAACCGGACCGGACGUGGCACCUACACCCAGCCUUGAGGCGGUGGCCGCAACCACCGUGCACCCCGAUGUAACGCGGCCUCAUGCGGUACACGCCGUUCCGCUGCGCCGUCUGGCUGUAUAUGCGAGAGCCCCAUGAGUAGGAACUCCAGCAGUGGCCGGUCGCCCGCGACUAAGCUGUCUGCCACCUACUUCCGCUGCGGGUUUAGUGUCUAUCUCACACCGCGGAGGUGGCACUCUCCUCCGAUUACCUCACGCAGCUACGGCACGACUAGCGUCCAAGAAGAGGCCUACUCCUGGGCGUCGUACGACCUCCACUACAGCUUGCAGACGAAGAAGACCCGAACCGCACGUCGUCGGGUUUGGGCAGUCUGGCAGGCUCGUACGGGCUCCACCACGUCCAGUAGCGGUUCAGUCGUGGCGGCGGCCUCCACGGCGAGUACUUUGGUUAUAAGUACACCGGCGGCGGCCUUCCCCGUCGGACCCCGCGACUACUAUCGUGCCCGUGUACCUACUACUUAUUAGAGCUGCCCUCAUAGUGCUCGUGGCUCGCAGUCAGCGUCAGCGAGUGUCGCCACAGCGUGUCCGCCCGAUGGCCUCCUGUACGGAGCAAAGUUGACCUCGGUACU
rnacentral:rRNA from 1 species